rnacentral:miRNA from 1 species
AACGGGGAGAGGGGACGUGCCUAACGAGAGAUCCGCAAGGAACGGAGAGGUUGCGGCUAUCUUCCUUCGCCCCGUU